rnacentral:rRNA from 1 species
AUUGAACGCUGGCGGCAUGCUUUACACAUGCAAGUCGAACGGUAACAGGGAGCUUGCUCCGCUGACGAGUGGCGAACGGGUGAGUAAUAUAUCGGAACGUACCCAAGAGUGGGGGAUAACGUAGCGAAAGUUACGCUAAUACCGCAUACGAUCUAUGGAUGAAAGCAGGGGAUCUUUGGACCUUGUGCUCCUGGAGCGGCCGAUAUCUGAUUAGCUAGUUGGUGAGGUAAAGGCUCACCAAGGCGACGAUCAGUAGCUGGUCUGAGAGGACGACCAGCCACACUGGAACUGAGACACGGUCCAGACUCCUACGGGAGGCAGCAGUGGGGAAUUUUGGACAAUGGGCGCAAGCCUGAUCCAGCAAUGCCGCGUGAGUGAAGAAGGCCUUCGGGUUGUAAAGCUCUUUUGUCAGGGAAGAAACGGGAGUGGCUAAUAUCCAUUCCUAAUGACGGUACCUGAAGAAUAAGCACCGGCUAACUACGUGCCAGCAGCCGCGGUAA